UGGGGAAUAUUGCACAAUGGGCGAAAGCCUGAUGCAGCGACGCCGCGUGAAGGAUGAAGUAAUUUCGGUUAUGUAAACUUCUAUCAGCAGGGAAGAAAUGACGGUACCUGACUAAGAAGCCCCGGCUAACUACGUGCC
rnacentral:rRNA from 1 species